CAGCUCUAGCUUAGGUUCCCGGCGUACAGCUACCACCUGAGAGUCGGCCCAACAUGAAUUGAGGGAAGCGGACUCCCCAAGUGCACGCGCUCCGCUCCUGCAGCUGUGUGCCUUCCUGCUCUUUGCCAGUAAACUAUUUAUACUCCUUCUAUUGUCUGCCAGCGGCUGCCAAAGGGGGCUCCCACAAUGCCGAGGUAUUGUAACUAAGGACUGAUUUACAACUAGUGCCACCCUGAAAUAGAUGUAGACAAGACCUGAAGCUCAGAGGGAGAUCAGACAUCAAAUUUGAACCUGAAACGAAAAUGAAAACUUCAGGUCCUAAGCCCAAGCCUAUAUAUAAUAGAAGAAGAAAAAGACGUGUUAAUUUUGUACAGAAUUACAUGCCAAUUGAAGAAAGACAAACAGAAUCUUACUUCUGCUUCAAUCCACUCAAACUCUGUGCUAUGUUGUUGGGCGGACACUCCGGAACUACAUUUGCAACUACUAUUUGGAAGUUGAUUGUGCAGAUUGCCAAAACAUGCCAGGAUUUCACCAACCUCAUCUCUAUGCAGAUAGAGGGCCAGCCACAAAACCACAUCCACCACUGGCCCCUCUACCCAAGGGAGCUUCUCUUCCUCCUCCAGUACCUGGAAUAAGUGGUAAACAACAUUAAUACUACCAUUAACUUGAUUUAAGGAGCCUCACCUCCACUACCACUUUUAUUGGAGAAACCUGCUUUCCAGGCUAUCAUUUCCAUGUUCAUGGA